rnacentral:rRNA from 1 species
UACGAAGGGGGCUAGCGUUGCUCGGAAUCACUGGGCGUAAAGCGCACGUAGGCGGUCUUCUAAGUCAGGGGUGAAAUCCUGGAGCUCAACUCCAGAACUGCCUUCGAUACUGCCGUGCUUGAGGACUGGAGAGGAGACUGGAAUUUACGGUGUAGCGGUGAAAUGCGUAGAUAUCGUAAGGAAGACCAGUGGCGAAGGCGGGUCUCUGGACAGUUCCUGACACUGAGACACGAAGGCCAGGGGAGCAAACGGG